rnacentral:lncRNA from 1 species
AUUAUCUGAAAUCAGAAAUCCUAGGAAAAUGCACGUGUGGUGGGGAAUGCUGCCCUAGUGACGUCUAGUGCAGUAUUAGUGUCUGUGAAUGCAGCCCCAUGCCUGACUCCUCCCCAGCCAACAUCCCAAUGAGGUCAGGUUAUAUUAGCCACCUGCUGGCUGAUGCUCUCUCCUUUUUGGCUCUGAUCCUGUCUCUGCUGUGGUUGUUUUGUGCUCCAGUUCUGCUCUGGUGGUGCGAUUGUUGCCUUUCCCACCUGUUGAACCGAUCCUGUGUGUUAGCGCCCCAUACAAGAGGUGGUGAGUAGGGUUAAUGUUAAAAAGAAAAUAUGCAUUGUAUGUAACCUGGUGAGCCUUCUUAAUUCCUGUCUUUAUUCAUAGGUUCAUCUGUGAUGACUACUGCUGUUGCUCCUUGUUUGUUUUGCUGAUUUAGUCUGUUGACCAACUGGGCUGUCCUUUUUUAAUUAGGUCUUUUCCUUCUUUUUUUUUCUUUCACUGAAGCAGAGCGACAUGUUGUGGUGGGGCUAGAUACCCGUGAUGGGAUCCCCACUUCUGAUGCAUGUGAAUAAGAGCACCAGGACACGUUUGUAGACUGCACUUUUUCCUUAAUUUUGGUUAGUUUGUUUGACUGAUAGUUUUACAUAUUAUGGUUAACCAGUGGUUUUAGAUAUUGUAUCAGGCCUUUCUUUGAAUAAUUGUAAUACAGUAUUUUUAUUCUCUGCUUGUUUUAUUUUGAUUAUUUAAAUAAAAAUGCUGGUUUAAUGUGAAAAACACUUUUCUGUCUUACCUAAGUAACCAGACUGUGUGCCUUCGUUAUUAAUCCAAAUAACAUUUAGGGUUAGAAGUUGAAAUAUUUCCUGGGGUGCAUUUCCCCAGGUCCUUUCCUCAUUCUCUCCUCACUGCCCUUUCCAUGCAUACAACCCUAUCUCUUACAAGACCUCCCAAUUAUACAACAGAAUACGGGGUUUGUUUAUGCCCUCUAGAGCGACACAUGGAAGUAUUUGAUUUGACAGCCCCAUUGGCAGGACAGCAUCAUUAAGUCCAUGCCUCUCAAACAAAUGACAAAUGUUGAAAAACAAAUUGGUAUGAUUAAGGAUUGGUUACGUAUUGGCACAAAAACAACAUGGUUAGGGAAAGAUGAUUUGAGUUAAAAUAUUUUAAAUAAAUGUGUUAACGUUAAGGAA